rfam:Otolemur garnettii contig188271, whole genome shotgun sequence.
GUGCUCCUUUGGCAGCACAUAUACUAAAAAAUAGGACCAAUGUAGAGAUUAGCACAGUCCCUGUGCAAGGAUGACGUGCAAAUUCAUGAAGCAUUCGAUCUUUUG